rnacentral:rRNA from 1 species
AGAGUUUGAUCCUGGCUCAGGAUGAACGCUAGCUACGGGCUUAACACAUGCAAGUCGAGGGGCAGCAUGGUCUUAGCUUGCUAAGACUGAUGGCGACCGGCGCACGGGUGAGUAACACGUAUCCAACCUGCCGUCUACUCUUGGACAGCCUUCUGAAAGGAAGAUUAAUACAAGAUGGCAUCAUGAGUCCGCAUGUUCACAUGAUUAAAGGUAUUCCGGUAGACGAUGGGGAUGCGUUCCAUUAGAUAGUAGGCGGGGUAACGGCCCACCUAGUCUUCGAUGGAUAGGGGUUCUGAGAGGAAGGUCCCCCACAUUGGAACUGAGACACGGUCCAAACUCCUACGGGAGGCAGCAGUGAGGAAUAUUGGUCAAUGGGCGAGAGCCUGAACCAGCCAAGUAGCGUGAAGGAUGACUGCCCUAUGGGUUGUAAACUUCUUUUAUAAAGGAAUAAAGUCGGGUAUGCAUACCCGUUUGCAUGUACUUUAUGAAUAAGGAUCGGCUAACUCCGUGCCAGCAGCCGCGGUAAUACGGAGGAUCCGAGCGUUAUCCGGAUUUAUUGGGUUUAAAGGGAGCGUAGAUGGAUGUUUAAGUCAGUUGUGAAAGUUUGCGGCUCAACCGUAAAAUUGCAGUUGAUACUGGAUAUCUUGAGUGCAGUUGAGGCAGGCGGAAUUCGUGGUGUAGCGGUGAAAUGCUUAGAUAUCACGAAGAACUCCGAUUGCGAAGGCAGCCUGCUAAGCUGCAACUGACAUUGAGGCUCGAAAGUGUGGGUAUCAAACAGGAUUAGAUACCCUGGUAGUCCACACGGUAAACGAUGAAUACUCGCUGUUUGCGAUAUACGGCAAGCGGCCAAGCGAAAGCGUUAAGUAUUCCACCUGGGGAGUACGCCGGCAACGGUGAAACUCAAAGGAAUUGACGGGGGCCCGCACAAGCGGAGGAACAUGUGGUUUAAUUCGAUGAUACGCGAGGAACCUUACCCGGGCUUAAAUUGCAGAUGAAUUACGGUGAAAGCCGUAAGCCGCAAGGCAUCUGUGAAGGUGCUGCAUGGUUGUCGUCAGCUCGUGCCGUGAGGUGUCGGCUUAAGUGCCAUAACGAGCGCAACCCUUGUUGUCAGUUACUAACAGGUUCUGCUAAGGACUCUGACAAGACUGCCAUCGUAAGAUGUGAGGAAGGUGGGGAUGACGUCAAAUCAGCACGGCCCUUACGUCCGGGGCUACACACGUGUUACAAUGGGGGGUACAGAGGGCCGCUACCACGCGAGUGGAUGCCAAUCCCCAAAACCUCUCUCAGUUCGGACUGGAGUCUGCAACCCGACUCCACGAAGCUGGAUUCGCUAGUAAUCGCGCAUCAGCCACGGCGCGGUGAAUACGUUCCCGGGCCUUGUACACACCGCCCGUCAAGCCAUGGGAGCCGGGGGUACCUGAAGUGCGUAACCGCGAGGAGCGCCCUAGGGUAAAACUGGUGACUGGGGCUAAGUCGUAACAAGGUA